UAUGGUUGUGCCAGCAGCCGCGGUAAUCCGUAUGGUGCAAGCGUUAUCCGGAUUUACUGGGUGUAAAGGGAGCGUAGACGGAGUGGCAAGUCUGAUGUGAAAACCCGGGGCUCAACCCCGGGACUGCAUUGGAAACUGUCAAUCUAGAGUACCGGAGAGGUAAGCGGAAUUCCUAGUGUAGCGGUGAAAUGCGUAGAUAUUAGGAGGAACACCAGUGGCGAAGGCGGCUUACUGGACGGUAACUGACGUUGAGGCUCGAAAGCGUGGGGAGCAAACAGG
rnacentral:rRNA from 1 species